rnacentral:rRNA from 1 species
UUCCGGUUGAUCCCGCCGGACCCACUGCUAUCGGGAUAGGACUAAGACAUGCUAGUUGAGCGCUUCCAGCCCAUACGGGAGCGCAGCGCACAGCUCAGUAACACGUGGCUAAUCUGCCCUUGGGACCGGAACACCCCCGGGAAACUGGGGCUAAUUCUCGAUAGGUGAAGAACUCUGGAAUGAGUCUUUGCUUAAAAGACGUUUACGUUAUGCUCGUAGAUGUCGCCCAAGGAUGAGGCCGCGACCGAUCAGGUUGUUGGUGAGGUAAUGGCUCACCAAGCCUUUUACCGGUGCGGGCCGUGAGAGCGGGAGCCCGGAGAUGGGCACUGAGACAAGGGCCCAGGCCCUACGGGGCGCAGCAGUCGCGAAAACUUUGCAAUACACGAAAGUGUGACAGGGCUAUCCCGAGUGCCAUCCGCUGAGGAAGGCUUUUACCCAGUCUAGAACGCUGGGGGAAUAAGGAGAGGGCAAGUCUGGUGUCAGCCGCCGCGGUAAUACCAGCUCUCCGAGUGGUGUGGAUGUUUAUUGGGCCUAAAGCAUCCGUAGCUGGCUGAGUUAGUCCCUUGUUAAAUCCACCGAAUUAAUCGUUGGAUUGCGGGGGAUACUGCUCGGCUAGGGGACGAGAGAGGCAGACGGUAUUUCCGGGGUAGGGGUGAAAUCCUAUAAUCCCGGGAAGACCACCAGUGGCGAAGGCUGUCUGCUAGAACGCGCCCGACGGUGGGGGAUGAAAGCUGGGGGAGCGAACCGGAUUAGAUACCCGGGUAGUCCCAGCUGUAAACGGUGCAGGCUAGGUGUUUGGACGGCCACGUGCCGUUCUAGUGCCGCAGGGAAGCUGUUAAGCCUGCCGCCUGGGGAGUACGAUCGCAAGAUUGAAACUUAAAGGAAUUGGCGGGGGAGCACCACAAGGGGUGAAGCUUGCGGUUUAAUUGGAUUCAACGCCGG